rnacentral:lncRNA from 1 species
GGGCUAUCUUCAUCCCUCCACCCCAGAGCAAAGAAAUCUAGAAGAGGAGGAAAGACUAAGAGCCAGAGGAGUUUGGAGGACUCCAAGGAAGCAGAGUCACAAAAGGACUGAAGAGCAGAGUUCAAGUCAGAUGGGGUCCCAGCACCGAAAGGGGGAAGUGGAUGAGCGCUCCCACCCUAACCAAGAAACUAUCUGCAAUGACACUCACUUGCAAAGGAAAAAUUAAUUUUCUCCAAUGAAACCUUAACGGGUAUAUAAACCACGCUUAAGGACAGGUCCUAGGCCGACACAAACAAACUCAAAGGUAUUUUUGUAGACUUUUUGUCUCAUACUUUGAACAUUCUUUUCUACCUUGUCUUUUUCCUGUAUGUUGUAGUUUCUAAUUUUGUGCUUUAAUGUAAUUUUUGUGUGCAUGUGUUUCUUUGGGUUCUUUUUCUUCCUGUUUGCUUUCUAAAGAGAGAGAAAGCAGAACAUGAAGGUGGAUGGGUGGGAAUGUGGAAGGGACCUGGGAGGAGUUGGGGAAUGAGAAAUCAUAAUCAGGAUAUAUCAUAUGGAAAAACUUUUCAAUAAAAAUAAGAUGGAAAUGGAAUUCUUUAUGUGCAUAAAGGUUUACAAAAUACUUGUGUACAUAUUUUAUCUUACUGAAUUCUAUGAGAAAUGUGUCUGAUUUUUAUAACUGAAGCUAAUUGGGUGAUCAAGAAAGCCCAUUGCACAGCUGGGUGGUAAACUUAGGUCACUUAUCUCCAAGGGCAAUCUCAUCUGAGAACUGAGGCAAACAACCAGAGGCUGAAUGAACCCUGACUCUGGAGUGGAGGCUCAGUUCCGAUCACAUGAACAAGGAUGCCCUAGAGAAGUGUCAUCUGAACAGAAUCUCAAAGUCUUAAAUUGAUUUCCACAGACCAGGACAUUUCAGACAGCAGUCAAAGCAAGAAUAAAUGCACAAAGGAAAGCCAUCCAACGUGUUUAUGGGAGGCUGGCAUGCAGGAAGCAAAGAUACUUUGGAAUAAGAGUGGCAGGAAAUGAAGUUAGGAAUAUAUCGGCAGGCACUGAUGGAUGCUGAGUGCUUCAUGCAUUAGGCUUUUCUAGAAAGCAGACAGGGUUGCAGAAGCCCUGCAUUGUUGGUCUUUUUAGAUUUUAUUUCUGGUGAAGUUGUGAUUGGUGGUAUGUUGACUUUAUGAAGAUGGAUAUGGGUAUUGUAGAAUGGACCAAGAGAAAGCUGGUAAUAGGAUGAAGUAAGAGGCAUCUUGUUUCUACACUUUAAGAAAGAGCCAUAGAGCCAACAGGAUAUUCCCCAUUCCUGGAGUACAAACCUUUCGUCCUCACUCGAGGGCUUUGGUUAAUAGUAGAUCAUGUUCCUCAAUUGCUUUUGAUUAACUCAGCUUGUUAAAUAAACACACAGAGAUUCU